UACAGAAGUCUCAAGCGUUGUUCGGAUUCAUUGGGCGUAAAGGGUGCGUAGGCGGCGCGGUAAGUCGGGUGUGAAAUCUUGGAGCUUAACUCCGAAACUGCAUUCGAUACUGCCGUGCUUGAGGACUGGAGAGGAGACUGGAAUUUACGGUGUAGCGGUGAAAUGCGUAGAUAUCGUAAGGAAGACCAGUGGCGAAGGCGGGUCUCUGGACAGUUCCUGACGCUGAGGCACGAAGGCCCAGGGGG
rnacentral:rRNA from 1 species